rnacentral:rRNA from 1 species
AGAGUUUGAUCAUGGCUCAGAUUGAACGCUGGCGGCAGGCUUAACACAUGCAAGUCGAGCGGGGAAAGGUAGCUUGCUACUUUACCUAGCGGCGGACGGGUGAGUAAUGCUUAGGAAUCUGCCUAUUAGUGGGGGACAACAUCUCGAAAGGGAUGCUAAUACCGCAUACGUCCUACGGGAGAAAGCAGGGGACCUUCGGGCCUUGCGCUAAUAGAUGAGCCUAAGUCGGAUUAGCUAGUUGGUGGGGUAAAGGCCUACCAAGGCGACGAUCUGUAGCGGGUCUGAGAGGAUGAUCCGCCACACUGGGACUGAGACACGGCCCAGACUCCUACGGGAGGCAGCAGUGGGGAAUAUUGGACAAUGGGGGGAACCCUGAUCCAGCCAUGCCGCGUGUGUGAAGAAGGCCUUUUGGUUGUAAAGCACUUUAAGCGAGGAGGAGGCUACCGAGAUUAAUACUCUUGGAUAGUGGACGUUACUCGCAGAAUAAGCACCGGCUAACUCUGUGCCAGCAGCCGCGGUAAUACAGAGGGUGCAAGCGUUAAUCGGAUUUACUGGGCGUAAAGCGCGCGUAGGUGGCCAAUUAAGUCAAAUGUGAAAUCCCCGAGCUUAACUUGGGAAUUGCAUUCGAUACUGGUUGGCUAGAGUAUGGGAGAGGAUGGUAGAAUUCCAGGUGUAGCGGUGAAAUGCGUAGAGAUCUGGAGGAAUACCGAUGGCGAAGGCAGCCAUCUGGCCUAAUACUGACACUGAGGUGCGAAAGCAUGGGGAGCAAACAGGAUUAGAUACCCUGGUAGUCC